CAGCAGCCACGGGAAAACGUAGGGCGCAAGCGUUGUCCGGAAUUAUUGGGCGUAAAGAGCUCGUAGGCGGUCUGUCGCGUCUGGUGUGAAAUCCCGAGGCUCAACCUCGGGCUUGCAUCGGGUACGGGCAGACUAGAGUGCGGUAGGGGAGACUGGAAUUCCUGGUGUAGCGGUGGAAUGCGCAGAUAUCAGGAGGAACACCGAUGGCGAAGGCAGGUCUCUGGGCCGCAACUGACGCUGAGGAGCGAAAGCAUGGGGAGCGAACAGGAUUAGAGACCCCCGUAGUCCCUGUCUCUUAUAA
rnacentral:rRNA from 1 species